UACGUAGGGGGCUAGCGUUGCUCGGAAUCACUGGGCGUAAAGGGUGCGUAGGCGGGUCUUUGAGUCAGGGGUGAAAUCCUGGAGCUCAACUCCGGAACUGCCUUUGAUACUGGCAACCUAGAGGCUGGAAGAGGUUAGUGGAAUUCCCAGUGUAGAGGUGAAAUUCGUAGAUAUUGGGAAGAACACCAGUGGCGAAGGCGGCUAACUGGUCCAGAUCUGACGCUGAGGUGCGAAAGCGUGGGGAGCAAACAGG
rnacentral:rRNA from 1 species